AUUUUAGAUAAAAAUAAUUUUUUUUAGCAGUUAUAUUGUAUGAGAUAUAUUUUAAAUCAAUCAUGUCCGGCUACUAUACUAUCGAUUGUACCAAAUAAUAUCGUGUUUUUGGUAUCAAUAAUUCGAAUUCUAGUUGAUUCACAUUUUCAGCCAAAUUUAUUUCUAAAUGGAAUAAACGAAGCGGUUAUUGUGCUAUCUAUGUCUAAAAUAAUAAUAAUAAUAAUAUCGAGUUUUUGACCAUUAAAACUAUCUUUUGAUUAUUUUUAUAUGUUAGAUUAUAAUAUUUAACAAACUAUCCAUUCAACCUUAUGGGACCAUUAUCAUGUUUACUGCAUAUAUUUUUAUCCAAUGAUCAAAAAUUUGAUAGUAUCAAACGCUUGAUACUAUCGAUAAUAUAGUAGCAUAUAUUAUAAGAUGAUAAUAAUUUUAUAUCAUAAUUUGAUGUUUUAAAAAAAUGAUCAAUUGUUGUAUUUAUACUUAAGUAAAAAAAAAUAUAUAUU
rnacentral:lncRNA from 1 species